rnacentral:misc_RNA from 1 species
AAUGGUUGGUAAGGGAUUCUCUGCCGAUGCGACGACUGCUGAAUUGGUAGUACAUUUAUUGCACAAUGGUGAUCUUACUUUGAGAAAAUUAUGAAACAAAUUUUAAGGUUCUAAAAGCGAAAUUGUAAAGUAAAAUUUUAACAAUCAAGGCCAAAUCAACAAAAGCAUGAGAUUUGUGUUGUCAGUUAUUUGUAUUUUAAUCUAUUUCAAUACUAGUGCAAU